UGGCUGAGUAGUAAAGUGCUUGGCUUCCAAAUCAAGUGGUCCUGGGUUAGAAUCCUGG
rnacentral:tRNA from 1 species